CCUUUUUUUCCACACACCACUACAACAGAAUUAGAUUAUAGGGACACAUAUUUGGGACACUUUUGAGUAAGUCUCCCAUUUAUCCUAAAACUUAAAAAAAUAUCUACUAAUACCUAAAUAUAAAGCCCAAUCCAACCAAAAAUAAAAGAUUACUCUACUCAACCCACCACACCAGUACAUUUGGCCCGAUUACAAACAGAAAAGUAAAAAAGAAAAGAAAAAUCAAUUAUCAUCUUUUCUUCUCUCUUCACUCAAUCCACUGAAAUUCUAGACGAAAAGCCUUUCCUGUCGUCCUCCUCCGCCACCGCAGCCAACGAGAUAGAGUUUCGGCGGUUGCUAAAUCUUUAAAUAAGUGUUGGUAAAUUAGCAGCACUCUUUUAGGUUAUAGCGACACUCUUUAACUGUCACUAUAUACCUAGCGACCCCACAUAUAGCAACACUUUUUAAAAGUGUCGGUAAUUUUAGCUAGCAGCACUUUUUUGACAUGUACCUACAUUUAAAAGUGUCGCUAUAGACCGUUUUUGUUGUAGUGCACCUAUACACAUCAAUUGUGCUUCAAUUUUAGUUAAUUAUUCUCCUUUGUUAGAUUCCACAUUUAUGUUUUUAAUUAAGGGUUGAAUAAUUGUUCCUUCAAGAUAGCUCAAUAAAAGAUAAAAAAAAAUACAUAUAUAGUACGAAAAGUUCUACAAAAAUUUGUCAAGCAAAAAAGCGAUUUGCGACGAACUUAAUUUAGAACAAUAAUUAAUGUUUUCCAUGUAUUAAGGAGCUUGUUUUAUCUUGUGGAAGCAUGAAUAAUAUUCUACCAGGCUAUGAAAUAAAAUAAUAAAAUAUAGUUUUCUAAAAGUGUAAUUAAUGACCAGUUUAGUAUUCAACGUACGUAGUUCUCCGGCGAUGCAUAAUAUAUCACUUGUGGAAAAACUUAAUUAACUAAAUUAUAGUGAUUGGUGUGAUGUAUUAUCACUUGUGGAAACAAAUUAAUGAAAUGUUUUCUCAUCACGCUUUCUCACCAUAUAGAAGCAUUACUCAUAUAUAUAUAUAUAUAUCCCUAUUUAGAAUAAUUAUUAUAAAAAAAUUUCCGAGUACCUUUUUGCGGUUAAUCAAUUAAUCCUCAACAAUUUUAUAAAGCAUCAAACAAAUUAAUCCUGUCCCAUUUUAAUUGCCACCACACCCAGUCCAUUUGGCCCGAUUACAAACAGAAAAGAAAAAAAAGAAAAGAAAAAUCAAUUACCAUCUUUUCUUCUCUCUUCACUCAAUCCACUGAAAUUCUAGACGAAAAGCCUUUACUGUCGUUCUCCUCCGUCACCGCAGCCAACGAGAUAGAGUUUCGGUGGUUGCUAAAUACUUAAAUAAGUGUUAGUAAAUUAGCAGCAUUCUUUUAGGUUAUAACGACAUUUUUUAACUGUCACUAUAUACCUAGCGACCCCACAUAUAGCAACACUUUUUAAAAGUGUCGGUAAUUUUAGCUAGCAGCACUUUUUUGACAUGUACCUAUAUUUAAAAAUGUCGCUAUAGACCGUUUUUGUUGUAGUGGAUGAACAACUUUAAAGCAUUUUCUGAACCAAUAGAGAAAAACACUUGC
rnacentral:lncRNA from 1 species